GGUUCGCCAAAACCGUCGGUCCGCCGGUCCUGACCGGCAAAUUUUUCUAAGGACCGACAAGUGAUUUAAGAUAAUCGGUCCGACUGACCGACACAAUCCGAUGAAAAAUGGUUUCCAAAAAAUCACUCAAAGUGUAUAAUAUGCUAUUGGAUUAAUAGAAGACAACAAGAAUGGAUGGUGGUAACUAUCAUGGGCCUUUCUAUCAAGAAAUAGGUGUGAAAGACAUUCAUUUAAUUGAACCUGGAAAUCAACCACCUCAGCUAAGAGAAAAUAUUUUAACAAUAGGUGUUUUUUUAGAACUUGUGAAAUCGGCUAAUAAACAGAAAUUGAAGUUAUCCAAAGUGGUGUGAAUGGGUGUGUGCAAUUAAGUCAAACUUGAUUGGAUGUCACCCUAACUUUUCGAGAACACGGAUUUGUAGAGCUGUGCAGGCUAAAAAACAGUUUUACAACAAGAAGUUUUAAAAGAAUACCUUUGGUGAAUAUGUGGUUUAUUAUUAAUAUAAUAAUUGUUUAAUUAUAUCGACUUUGGGCAUGUUUUUAUUGUAUUUAUGUGAUUAAAACCAAUAAACAUAAAAAAGGUA